UACGUAGGGUGCGAGCGUUGUCCGGAAUUAUUGGGCGUAAAGAGCUUGUAGGCGGUUUGUCGCGUCUGCCGUGAAAAUCCGGGGCUCAACCCCGGACUUGCAGUGGGUACGGGCAGACUAGAGUGUGGUAGGGGAGACUGGAAUUCCUGGUGUAGCGGUGGAAUGCGCAGAUAUCAGGAGGAACACCGAUGGCGAAGGCAGGUCUCUGGGCCACUACUGACGCUGAGAAGCGAAAGCAUGGGGAGCGAACAGG
rnacentral:rRNA from 1 species